UACCUGCAGCUCGAGUGGUAACCGCUAUUAUUGGGCCUAAAGCGUCCGUAGCCGGUUUGGUAAAUAUCUGGGUAAAUCGUGAGGCUUAACUUCACGAAUUUCGGAUAGACUGCCAGACUUGGGAUCGGGGGAGGUCAGAGGUACUCCAGGGGUAGCGGUGAAAUGUUGUAAUCCUUGGAGGACCACCGGUAGCGAAGGCGUCUGACUAGAACGAGUCCGACGGUGAGGGACGAAGCCCUGGGGCGCAAACCGGAUUAGAUACCCGGGUAGUCCAGGGUGUAAACGAUGUGGGCUUUGUAUUGGAGGUCCCACGUGGGCGUCCAGUGCAGAAGAGAAGUUGUUAAGCCCGCCGCCUGGGGAGUACGGCCGCAAGGCUGAAACUUAAAGGAAUUGGCGGGGGAGCACCACAAGGCGUGAAGCUUGCGGUUC
rnacentral:rRNA from 1 species